rnacentral:lncRNA from 1 species
AUUCUGCUUUUGGUAGGGUAUUGGAGCAUAGAGCCUAGACCAGGUGGAGAUUAGGAAUGUCCGAACACCCUAAGCCAGAUCUUUGUCUUGAUUGUAAAGACAAUGUUUCUUGACCAGCUGGGGGU